rnacentral:sRNA from 1 species
GGAUUGAAGUGGAAAUCCUUUUUAUUGUCAGUUCGAUUUUUUUUGUAAAAGAUGAACAAAAAAGUAUCGAGAACAAAAUAAAAAGAUUGUAACGUAAAGCCCGACCU